rnacentral:rRNA from 1 species
GAUGAACGCUGGCGGCGUGCCUAAUACAUGCAAGUCGAGCGAACAGACGAGGAGCUUGCUCCUCUGACGUUAGCGGCGGACGGGUGAGUAACACGUGGAUAACCUACCUAUAAGACUGGGAUAACUUCGGGAAACCGGAGCUAAUACCGGAUAAUAUAUUGAACUGCAUGGUUCAAUAGUGAAAGACGGUUUUGCUGUCACUUAUAGAUGGAUCCGCGCCGCAUUAGCUAGUUGGUAAGGUAACGGCUUACCAAGGCAACGAUGCGUAGCCGACCUGAGAGGGUGAUCGGCCACACUGGAACUGAGACACGGUCCAGACUCCUACGGGAGGCAGCAGUAGGGAAUCUUCCGCAAAGGGCGAAAGCCUGACGGAGCAACGCCGCGUGAGUGAUGAAGGUCUUCGGAUCGUAAAACUCUGUUAUUAGGGAAGAACAAAUGUGUAAGUAACUAUGCACGUCUUGACGGUACCUAAUCAGAAAGCCACGGCUAACUACGUG